AGCGGCGGACGGGUGAGUAACACGUGGGUAACCUGCCCAAGAGACUGGGAUAACACCUGGAAACAGAUGCUAAUACCGGAUAACAACACUAGACGCAUGUCUAGAGUUUGAAAGAUGGUUCUGCCAUCACUCUUGGAUGGACCUGCGGUGCAUUAGCUAGUUGGUAAGGUAACGGCUUACCAAGGCAAUGAUGCAUAGCCGAGUUGAGAGACUGAUCGGCCACAUUGGGACUGAGACACGGCCCAAACUCCUACGGGAGGCAGCAGUAGGGAAUCUUCCACAAUGGACGAAAGUCUGAUGGAGCAACGCCGCGUGAGUGAAGAAGGGUUUCGGCUCGUAAAGCUCUGUUGGUAGUGAAGAAAGAUAGAGGUAGUAACUGGCCUUUAUUUGACGGUAAUUACUUAGAAAGUCACGGCUAACUACGUGCCAGCAGCCGCGGUAAUACGUAGGUGGCAAGCGUUGUCCGGAUUUAUUGGGCGUAAAGCGAGUGCAGGCGGUUCAAUAAGUCUGAUGUGAAAGCCUUCGGCUCAACCGGAGAAUUGCAUCAGAAACUGUCGAACUUGAGUGCAGAAGAGGAGAGUGGAACUCCAUGUGUAGCGGUGGAAUGCGUAGAUAUAUGGAAGAACACCAGUGGCGAAGGCGGCUCUCUGGUCUGCAACUGACGCUGAGGCUCGAAAGCAUGGGUAGCGAACAGGAUUAGAUACCCUGGUAGUCCAUGCCGUAAACGAUGAGUGCUAAGUGU
rnacentral:rRNA from 1 species